AUUGAACGCUGGCGGCAUGCCUUGCACAUGCAAGUCGAACGGUAACAGGUUAAGCUGACGAGUGUCGAACGGGUGAGUAAUGUAUCGGAACGUGCCCAGUCGUGGGGGAUAACUGCUCGAAAGAGCAGCUAAUACCGCAUACGACCUGAGGGUGAAAGCGGGGGAUCGCAAGACCUCGCGCGAUUGGAGCGGCCGAUAUCAGAUUAGGUAGUUGGUGAGGUAAAGGCUCACCAAGCCGACGAUCUGUAGCUGGUCUGAGAGGACGACCAGCCACACUGGGACUGAGACACGGCCCAGACUCCUACGGGAGGCAGCAGUGGGGAAUUUUGGACAAUGGGCGCAAGCCUGAUCCAGCCAUGCCGCGUGCGGGAAGAAGGCCUUCGGGUUGUAAACCGCUUUUGUCAGGGAAGAAAAGGUUCUGGCUAAUACCUGGGACUCAUGACGGUACCUGAAGAAUAAGCACCGGCUAACUACGUG
rnacentral:rRNA from 1 species